rnacentral:piRNA from 1 species
UGCAACUCAACUCGCACUGCGUAUGC